rnacentral:rRNA from 1 species
GUUGCGGUUAAAAAGCUCGUAGUUGGAUUUCUGUCGAGGGCGGCCGGUCCGCACUAUGUGCGUGUAUCUGGUUCGGUCUUGGCAUCCUCUUGGGGAUCGUUCGUGUGCUUGAUUGCAUGCGACGGAAUUCAAGACUUUUACUUUGAGGAAAUUAGAGUGUUCACGGCAAGCUAUCGCUUUGAAUACAUUAGCAUGGAAUAAUAAUAUAGGGCGUAAGUUCUAUCUUGUUGGUUCAUAGAAAAUACGCAAUGAUUAAUAGGGAUAAUUGGGGGCACUCGUAUUAACGCGUCAGAGGUGGAAUUCUUAGAUUGCGUUACGACGAACUACUGCGAAAGCAUUUGCCAAGGAUGUUUUCAUUGAUCAAGAACGAAAGUAUGGGGAUCGAAGACGAUUAGAUACCGUCGUAGUCUAUACCAUAAACUAUGCCAACUAGAGAUUGGAGGUCGUUUUAUUUAUGACUCCUUCAGCACCUUAUGAGAAAUCAAAGUUUUUGGGUUCCGGGGGGAGUAUGGUCGCAAGGCUGAAACUUAAAAGAAUUGACGGAAGGGCACCACCAGGAGUGGAGCCUGCGGCUUAAUUUGACUCAACACGGGAAAACUUACCAGGUCCAGACAUAGUAAAGAUUGACAGAUUGAUAGCUC